rnacentral:rRNA from 1 species
AUUGAACGCUGGCGGCGGGCCUAACACAUGCAAGUCGAACGAGUGGCGGACGGGUGAGUAAUGUCUGGGAAACUGCCUGAUGGAGGGGGAUAACUGCUGGAAACGGUAGCUAAUACCGCAUACCAUCAGAUGUGCCCAGAUGGGAUUAGCGAGUUGGGGGGGUAACGGCUCACCAAGGCGACGAGCCCUAGCUGGUCUGAGAGGAUGACCAGCCAAACUGGAACGGAGACACGGUCCAGACUCCUACGGGAGGAAGCAGUGGGGAAUCUUGCACAAUGGGCGAAAGCCUGAGGCAGCCAUGCCGCGUGUAUGAAGAAGGCUGUCGGGUUGUAAAGUACUUUUAUCGGGGAGGCGUUACCCGCAGAAGAAGCACCGGCUAACUCCGUGCCAGCCGCCGCGGUAAUUC